rnacentral:rRNA from 1 species
CCUACGGGUGGCAGCAGUGGGGAAUCUUGCGCAAUGGGCGAAAGUCUGACGGAGCGACGCCGCGUGAGGGAUGAAGGUCUUCGGCUCGUAAAGCUCUGUCAGCAGGGAAGAACGGUCGCUGUGCUAAUCAGCCGUGAGUUGACGGUACCUGCUAAGGAAGCAACGGCUAACUCCGUGCCAGCAGCCGCGGUAAUACGGAGGUGGCGAGCGUUAAUCGGAAUUACUGGGCGUAAAGCGCUCGUAGGCGGUAUGUCAAGUCAAAGGUGAAAUCCCCGGGCUCAACGUGGGAACUGCCUUUGAAACUGUCAAACUGGAGUGUGGAAGAGGAGAGUGGAACUCCAGGUGUAGCAGUGAAAUCCGUAGAUAUCUGGAGGAACACCAGUGGCGAAGGCGACUAUCUGGCACAUAACUGACGCUGAGGAGCGAAAGCGUGGGUAGCGAACAGGAUUAGAUACCCGUGUAGUC